CUUGACAAGGACGAGUCAAUCGACUGCGAUCCGAGGCCAAGAUGUGGUGGUCGAUUGUCCCCUCUACUGCUCUGACUAUUGGCUUUCUUUUUAUCCCUGCAACACUAGUUGAUAAAUUAUUUCGAGUUAUUCGAUAUAACGAUAAGUCAGUACAAAGAGAUACAUUUGUACCUGAAGACUACACCAUGAGUCACAGAGAUUACUAUAUUAUGGGAAGCAGAUAUGUUCGUAGGGGCAUGGAUUUUAUCCCAGAGGUUGAGUGAAGAGAAGAAUAUUGAGAGGAGACUGAAAUGUUUUUUUCUUAAGAAAUGUUUUGAUGUUAUAGACUUAUUGUAAUAAACAAUUUCCUACAUUA